GGGGUUGGCUCUGAUCUUGAUCCUGUGCAAAUGCAGUGACUGAGCAUUUUUGCUGUUUUACAGGGUUAUCUCUUAGUAAGUAGCACCAUGUACAGCUCUCCUUGUCACCCUUCAAAGAGAAGCACAUCAUCUCUUUAAAGCUGAGGAAAACAACAUGAAGCAGGUAUAUACUACAGACUGAAACAGUGAAGACAGCGGGCAAAUUGUGGAAAUGCUUCAUGCCUAAAAUGUUGCUGGGGUCUCAUUUUGGAAGGGAAGAUGUAACACAAGCCCCUGAUUUCUGUUCCACUAUAAUGCAGCUGGGCUAACAUAAGUGUUGACUGUCCACUGAUCUGACUGUGUGAGCUGAUAGCUUUUGAAACAGUGGGUUUACUGGCAAACUGCUUCUCAAAUGUGGUUUUAGUGGUGGUUGUGUUCAGACUGACAUAAAAAGUGCAUAUAUUAAUAUUUCAAAGCACAGUCAUGCAACAUAUCUAUACAUUCCUAUUCAACAAUGGGUGAAUUUCCAGAAAUAGCUUGCAGCUCUCUGCCAUGUAAUGCUCUGAAGACAUGUGUGAGCAGCAAGAAAGCAGUGUUUGCACCAUGAGAAGUUAAUUGGUAAGUAAGGUACCAUUUCUGAGUUGUGGGCUCCUGAAACAGUUUGGGGUUUUGUACCCAAAAGCCUCCUCAG